rnacentral:rRNA from 1 species
GACGAACGCUGGCGGCGUGCCUAAUACAUGCAAGUAGAACGCACAGUUUAUACCGUAGCUUGCUACACCAUAGACUGUGAGUUGCGAACGGGUGAGUAACGCGUAGGUAACCUGCCUGGUAGCGGGGGAUAACUAUUGGAAACGAUAGCUAAUACCGCAUAAUAUUAAUUAUUGCAUGAUAAUUAAUUGAAAGGUGCAAUUGCACCACUACCAGAUGGACCUGCGUUGUAUUAGCUAGUAGGUGAGGUAACGGCUCACCUAGGCGACGAUACAUAGCCGACCUCAGAGGGUGAUCGGCCACACUGGGACUGAGACACGGCCCAGACUCCUACGGGAGGCAGCAGUAGGGAAUCUUCGGCAAUGGACGUAAGUCUGACCGAGCAACGCCGCGUGAGUGCAGAAGGUUUUCGGAUCGUAAAGCUCUGUUGUAAGAGAAGAACGGGUGUGAGAGUGGAAAGUUCACACUGUGACGGUAUCUUACCAGAAAGGGACGGCUAACUACGUG